rnacentral:rRNA from 1 species
AGCAGCCGCGGUAAUUCCAGCUCCAAUAGCGUAUAUUAAAGUUGCUGCAGUUAAAAAGCUCGUAGUUGAAUUUCGGGACCAUCAUGUCGGUCGUGCCUCGGUACGUACUGGCAUCGUCGGUUUCUCCCUUCUGACGAACCAUGAUGUCAUUUAUUUGGUGUCGUGGGGAAUCAGGACUGUUACUUUGAAAAAAUUAGAGUGUUUAAAGCAGGCUCACGCUUGAAUACAUUAGCAUGGAAUAAUGAAAUAGGACGUUUGAUUCUAUUUUGUUGGUUUCUAGGAUCGACGUAAUGAUUAAUAGGGAUAGUUGGGGGCAUUAGUAUUCAAUUGUCAGAGGUGAAAUUCUUGGAUUUAUUGAAGACUAACUACUGCGAAAGCAUUUGCCAAGGAUGUUUUCAUUAAUCAAGAACGAAAGUUAGGGGAUCGAAGACGAUCAGAUACCGUCGUAGUCUUAACCAUAAACUAUGCCGACUAGGGAUCGGAUGAUGUUAAUUUUUUAAUGACUCAUUCGGCGCCUUACG